GAACAAGUCAGUUGAUGUCUUCAAGUGUUACAUAGCACCUGUUUUAUGUGAUUAUGCACAGAAGAUAAUGUUUGAUCGUGAACUGUAAAAGGCACUGAUCAAACUGCCCCCUACUUCAGGGAUAUGUCAAACAUUUGGGUCUCAAAAUGCUUGCUUCUCUUCAACUUUGAUGUUUAUCUCCUGUGAUUUACUAUCUUCUUCAACGAACAAGCUCACUCUGGCCUGGUGACCAGCCCUUUGACUAUUAUCUCCCAUAGAUGAUGUCUUCAUCCAC
rnacentral:lncRNA from 1 species